GCCAGAGCAAUUUUAAGAAGAGAGAUGCUAACUUUCUAAAGGUGAGAAUUCAAUUGGGUCACGGAUCAGCUGGACAAGUUGCCAGGACCAUGAUCAAGGAGGAGGGUUUUGGUUCAUUGUAUAAGUGCACUAUUCCAUGGUGUAGCGGUUGUUCUUGCAGGUCAGGAUCCCCAGGGUUGAGAUCGAGGCGAGGAGUACAGGCAGCGCUAGGUUCAUAACCCAUUUUUG